rnacentral:misc_RNA from 1 species
GAAAUGCGAUAAGUAAUGUGAGUUGCAGAAUUCAGUGAAUCAUCUAAUCUUUGAACGCACCUUGCGCUCCUUGGUAUUCCUUGGAGCAUGCCUGUUUGAGUAUCAUGAAAUCUUCAAAGUAAAUCUUUUGUUAACUCAAUUGGUUUCUACUUUGGUAUUGGAGGUCUUUGCAGCUUCACACCUGCUCCUCUUUGUUCAUUAGCUGGAUCUCAGUGUUAUGCUUGGUUCCACUCGGCGUGAUAAGUUAUCUAUCGCUGAGGACACUGUAAAAGGUGGCCAAGGUAAAUGCAGAUGAACCGCUUCUAAUAGUCCAUUGACUUGGACAAUACUUUUAUGAUCUGAUCUCAAAUCAGGUAGGACUACCCGCUGAACUUAAGC